GACGAACGCUGGCGGCGUGCUUAACACAUGCAAGUCGAACGGAAAGGCCCUGCUUUUGUGGGGUGCUCGAGUGGCGAACGGGUGAGUAACACGUGAGUAACCUUCCCUUGACUUUGGGAUAACUUCAGGAAACUGGGGCUAAUACCGGAUAGGUGCUCCUGCUGCAUGGUGGGGGUUGGACAGUUUAGGCGGAUGGGGAUGGACUCGGGGCUUAUCAGCUUGUUGGGGGGGUAGUGGCCUACCAAGGCUUUGACGGGUAGCCGGCCUGAGAGGGUGACCGGCCACAUUGGGACUGAGAUACGGCCCAGACUCGUACGGGAGGCAGCAGUGGGGAAUAUUGCACAAUGGGCGGAAGCCUGAUGCAGAAACGCCGCGUGCGGGAUGACGGCCUUCGGGUUGUAAACCGCUUUCGCCUGUGACGAAGCGUGAGUGACGGUAAUGGGUAAAGAAGCACCGGCUAACUACGUG
rnacentral:rRNA from 1 species